rnacentral:rRNA from 1 species
CAGCAGCCACGGUAAUACGUAGGUGGCAAGCGUUGUCCGGAAUUAUUGAGCGUAAAGGGCUCGCAGGCGGUUUCUUAAGUCUGAUGUGAAAGCCCCCGGCUCAACCGGGGAGGGUCAUUGGAAACUGGGAAACUUGAGUGCAGAAGAGGAGAGUGGAAUUCCACGUGUAGCGGUGAAAUGCGUAGAGAUGUGGAGGAACACCAGUGGCGAAGGCGACUCUCUGGUCUGUAACUGACGCUGAGGAGCGAAAGCGUGGGGAGCGAACAGGAUUAGAGACCCCAGUAGUCCCUGUCUCUUAUAA